rnacentral:rRNA from 1 species
GACGAACGCUGGCGGCGUGCUUAACACAUGCGAGUCGAACGGAAAGGCCCUGCUUUUGUGGGGUGCUCGAGUGGCGAACGGGUGAGUAACACGUGGGUAACCUGCCCUUGACUUUGGGAUAACUUCAGGAAACUGGGGCUAAUACCGGAUAGGAGCUCCUGCUGCAUGGUGGGGGUUGGAAAGUUUCGGCGGUUGGGGAUGGACUCGCGGCUUAUCAGCUUGUUGGUGGGGUAGUGGCUUACCAAGGCUUUGACGGGUAGCCGGCCUGAGAGGGUGACCGGCCACAUUGGGACUGAGAUACGGCCCAGACUCCUACGGGAGGCAGCAGUGGGGAAUAUUGCACAAUGGGCGGAAGCCUGAUGCAGCAACGCCGCGUGCGGGAUGACGGCCUUCGGGUUGUAAACCGCUUUCGCCUGUGACGAAGCGUGAGUGACGGUAAUGGGUAAAGAAGCACCGGCUAACUACGUG